UAGUCCACGCUGUAAACGAUGAGGACUAAAUGUUGGUAGGCUAGUCUUUAUCAGUGUUGAAGCUAACGCGAUAAGUUCUCCGCCGUGGGGAGUACGGCCGCAAAGGUUAAAACUCAAAGGAAUUGACGGGGGACCCGCACAAGCGGUGGAGCAUGUGGUUUAAUUCGAUGCAACGCGAAGAACCUUACCUACUUUUGACAUCCAGAGGAGGCCUUAGAGAUGAGGCUGUGCCUUCGGGAGCUCUGAGACAGGUGCUGCAUGGCUGUCGUCAGCUCGUGUCGUGAGAUGUUGGGUUAAGUCCCGUAACGAGCGCAACCCUUGUACUUAGUUGCCAGCAUUAAGUUGGGUACUUUAAGUAGACUGCCGGUGAGAAACCGGAGGAAGGUGGGGAUGACGUCAAGUCUUCAUGGCCUUACGAGUAGGGCUACACACGUGCUACAAUGGGUAUUACAAAGGGCAGCGAAGCUGAGAGGUGGAGNGAACCCCAGAAAGGUAACUCGUAGUCCGGA
rnacentral:rRNA from 1 species